GGGUGUACAAGGGUGUACCUGGAAACUAGAGAGCAAUCAAAUAGACAGAUCAGUUAGCAGCAGCUCAACAGGUAGCAAUCAACAGCUAGAACCCAGCUUGACCGCGAGUAAAAUUUUGAAAACACCAAUCAACCCAACCAAACACCGCACAAGUUUGAACAAACAGGGAUCCCAAGAAAUGCAAAACAACCCAAAAGUUGAAAUAGACCCUCAACAGUUCAAAAUCACGAUCAGAACUCCAUUGAAGCUAAUAAUAGUCAACUUUGAAACAGAGGUGAAGUGAUCUACAGCAAAAUCUGGAAUUACACUAAUUUACUCUAAUGGAACAGUGAAA
rnacentral:lncRNA from 1 species